rnacentral:rRNA from 1 species
CGUUGAUUACGUCCCUGCCCUGUGUACACACCGCCCGUCGCUACUACCGAUUGAAUGGCUCAGUGAGGCGUCCGGACUGGCCCAGAGAGGAGGGAAACCACCACUCAGGGCCGGAAAGCUCUCCAAACUCGGUCAUUUAGAGGAAGUAAAAGUCGUAACAAGGU